CAGCCGUGGGGAGCACACGAGGCUCAGAUUCGCCGCCAGGUACUCCCCAGAAUCGCUGUCUACUUGGCGGUUACGCCCAGAAUUCUGGCUUCCUGUACAAGACUGUUACCUAGCACUUUCGGGGACAAUGCCCGCAAGGUUCAAGGUGAUAUGAAUUGACACGCGACAGCCCGAGCGGGUGAGCAUGUGGUUUAGUAAGAUGCACUGCGACUAGCCCUUCCUGGUCUUGAGCUCCACCGAGCAUUCCAGAGACGGAUGCGUCUCUUCGGGAUAUGUGAGACAGCUGCGGCAUGGCUGUCCUCAGCUCGUGUUCCGAAAUAUAGGGCUAAGUAACGCAACGACCGCAACCAUUAUCGUGUCUUGCCAGCGAAUACGUCGGGACCUCAAAGAGAGAUCUGCCAGUGAUAAACUCGAGGAAGGUGGGGAUGACGUCUAAGCAUCAUGGUGCCUGCGACCAGUCCUAGACCCGCGCGACAACGUCGCAUACAAAGAGAAGCGCUCUCGCGAGAGCCAGCGGCCCUCAUAAAGUGCGUGGUAGUAAGGAUUGGAGUCUGCACCUCGACUCCAUGAAGUCGGAAUCGCUAGUAAUCGUGGAUCAGAAUGCCACGGUGAAUACGUUCACGGGCCUUGUACACACCGCCCGUCACACCAUGGGAGUGGGUAGCAAAAGGAGUC
rnacentral:rRNA from 1 species